AUUCUCGUAGUGUGUCAUGAUGCAUUUUCGUAGUGUGUCCUGAUGCAUUCUCGUAGUGUGUCCUGAUGCAUUCUCGUAGUGUGUCCUGAUGCAUUCUCAUAGUGUGUCAUGAUGCAUUCUCGUAGUGUGUCAUGAUGCAUUCUCAUGUUGCAUUCCCUCGAUGUCUCAUACAUUACAAGGUCUGUCGUCAUGGUGCAUUCUUCUUAUGAUUUUAAAACAAUCCCCAAACCCGCAGUCAAUGAGAAGAAAUCAGUGACCUCAAUCAGCACAAUAAUAUAACCACUCAGAUAACCGCAUUCUGCUAGUGGACGGAAUUUCUUUUGGUUUACGGAAGAUAUUUGAAUGGUUAGUGAAUAUAUGCCUUGGAAUCAUGGACUUUACCUAUAAUGUGUCAGGUUCAGUCUUAGUGGGCACACACACACUCACUCACUCACUCACCCAAGCACUCACUCACCCAAGCACUCACUCACUCAAGCACUAACUCACCCACCAACAUGGAAUGAGUCAAUGCUGAACUGCAUUAAAGUGUAAUACAAAGAGGGAUGUGUGACGCCCAGAUAUUACUAAAAGCGGCAUAAAACCGAACUUGCACUCAAAUAUCUUGUACACUGUUACUGCUGCACUGUAGGUAUGGUUGGUGUACACAUGUGUAUAUCAAUUAAAUAUGCUACCUGUCCUCACCUGUUUCAGAAACAAAGACAUACAUACUUACCCUGAUUUGACUGGAAAUGUUGGUGUUUGUGCUACCUUCCUUUGUAUUUACUAUCCGGUAUCUGUGUGUGGGAUGAAUAUCUCUGUCAGCCAAGCUCCUACUUAAAGGUGUUCAGUGUGUUAAGUGUUCAUGUAUGAUCUCAUGUUGAAUACUGUACCAAUACUGGCAGGUCCCCAGCUCCCUAUGCUUGUCACAGGAGGUAGUUCAGUUUGAUUGGAUAGCCAGGUUAUGUGAUGGGCUUGACGUUAUUCCACCCUGCGAACUCGUCAUUGCUCAUAACAUCAACCACUAGGUUCUCAGGUAUAGAGUCGGUUUCUUUAAAGGUUGCACUGAUAAAUGAGUUUGGUGUAACAUGACAAACAUGCAUGUAUUGAAAAUGUUUAAGUGAUUUCUUUCAUUUCUUGAGACAGAAAUAUGCACAUUAUUAAUUCCAUAUCAUUUAGUUGUGUUUCCUUAUAGUUUCUCCAACUACUCAAUCAUUCACAACCAUUUUGAGGAGCAAAAACAUAGCAACAAAUUCCAUCCUUUUAAUUAAAUGAGUUUUAAUGUGAUCUGCAGUCUUUUAGCAUCUUUUACAUUGUUUCACAUUUUUACAUUUGAUUAUUUGCAUGUGCUUCAUGAUUUUCACAUCAUCCCACACCUUGUACCUUUACAAGAACUGGCCGAUGUUGUUUCUGUAGAAAUGUAAUGAACAUACCUUGUAUGUGCCAAGUUGAAUAUAUCAUAGUUGUGAUGCCAUCUGCAUUCAUUAAGUGAUAAUCAGCCAUUCUCAUGUUCUCAGAUGAAAUGUGAAAAGACACUCAAUGAAAGUAUUCAUGUAACAUUAGCAGGUCCAUGUUGUUCAUGCAUAUAUAGAGCAGGGUGUGUUCCAGGUAGGAAUGAUGUGACAGGACAGGUGAGCAGGGUGUACAUGUAUCAGGGUGUGUUCCAGGUAGGAAGGAUGUGACAGGACAGGUGUACAUGUAUAGAGCAGGGUGUGUUCCAGGUAGGAAGGAUGUGACAGGACAGGUGUACAUGUAUAGACAGGUGUACAUGUAUAGACAGGUGUACAUGUAUAGAGCAGGGUGUGUUCCAGGUAGGAAGGAUGUGACAGGACAGGUGUACAUGUAUAGACAGGUGUACAUGUAUAGAGCAGGGUGUGUUCCAGGUAGGAAGGAUGUGACAGGACAGGUGUACAUGUAUAGACAGGUGUACAUGUAUAGAGCAGGGUGUGUUCCAGGUAGGAAGGAUGUGACAGGACAGGUGUACAUGUAUAGACAGGUGUACAUGUAUAGAGCAGGGUGUGUUCCAGGUAGGAAGGAUGUGACC